rnacentral:rRNA from 1 species
AACGGAGGGGGCUAGCGUUGUUCGGAAUUAUUGGGCGUAAAGAGCUCGUAGGCGGCUUGUCACGUCGGGUGUGAAAGCCCGGGGCUUAACCCCGGGUCUGCAUUCGAUACGGGCAGGCUAGAGUGUGGUAGGGGAGAUCGGAAUUCCUGGUGUAGCGGUGAAAUGCGCAGAUAUCAGGAGGAACACCGGUGGCGAAGGCGGAUCUCUGGGCCAUUACUGACGCUGAGGAGCGAAAGCGUGGGGAGCGAACAGG